rnacentral:lncRNA from 1 species
CCCUUUUGUCCUGGGUUCGGAACCCCCUUUUUAAAAUGGCUGGAUCCGCCCCUGGACCCUAUGGGAAAUAUAUACAAAUGUCUUCCUCUAGAAAACCGCUUAGUGGAUUGAAACCAAACAUGGUACGAAUGGUUCUGUUGAGGUGCUGAACAAGUGUUGUUACUUUGUAGCUGAUUUAUUAUCGUCCUUGUUUAAAAGUAAAAUCACAAAAAUACUGAACUUAGAGGAAAGUCUAAUCGGAAAGUCCAUAAUCACAUGGCAACAUAAUAAUUCUAAGGUAGAAAUUGCCAACUUAAGUAAUUGUAAUUGCCAAAUUAAGUAAUUAUAAUU